CUGACUGCUCUGAGCUCCAGUUCUGGGUGAGUCUCUGGGGACCUAGACUCAUAUGGGGAGAAACUGGACUGUCUGGCAGCAGGCAGA
rfam:Myotis lucifugus cont2.58741, whole genome shotgun sequence.